rnacentral:rRNA from 1 species
CCUACGGGGGGCAGCAGUGAGGAAUAUUGGUCAAUGGACGAGAGUCUGAACCAGCCAAGUAGCGUGAAGGAUGACUGCCCUCUGGGUUGUAAACUUCUUUUAUAUGGGAAUAAAAUGUUCCACGUGUGGGAUUUUGUAUGUACCAUAUUAAUAAGGAUCGGCUAACUCCGUUCCACCAGCCGCGGUAAUACGGAGGAUCCGAACGUUAUCCGUAUUUAUUGGGGUUAAAGGGAGCGUAGGUGGAUUGGUAAGUCAGUUGUGAAAGUUUGGGGCUCAAACGUAAGAUUGCAUUUGAAACUGGCAGUCUAGAGUACAGUAGAGGUGGGCGGAAUUCGUGGUGUAGCGGUGAAAUGCUUAGAUAUCACGAAGAACUCCGAUUGCGAAGGCAGUUCACUGGACUGCAACUGACACUGAGGCUCGAAAGUGUGGGUAUCAAACAGGAUUAGAUACCCUGGUAGUC